GACUAUAGGCUCGUCUCAAAGGUUAAGCCAUGCAUGUCUAAGUACAUACUGAAUUACAGUUGAGACCGCGGAUAGCUCAUUAAAUCAGCUGUAAUUUACUGGAUCUUGAUGACGACUGUCAUUACUUGGAUAACUGUGGCAAUCCUAGAGCUAAUACAUGCCAAAAGAAUCUCUUGCAAACCAGCGUGUAGCUCUGUCUCUCCGAACGUGCAGCAAUGCGCUAGUACGAGACGGCAUCUCGCGUGUAUGGUUUUAGUCAAGGGUGCACUUAUUAGAAGCAAAAGCAGGUCCCCUCGGGCUUCGGUCCGUAGAACGAACUGUCAUUAUGCUGACUCUGGGUAAAGAUUGCCAAGCGCAGUGUCCAAGUGCGCUGUUUCUUUCAAGUGUCUGCCCUAUCAGAUGGACUGUACGUUAUGUGCAUACAAUGUCUGUAACGGGUGACGGGGAAUCAGGGUUCGAUUCCGGAGAGGGAGCCUGAGAAACAGCUACCACAUCUAAGGAAGGCAGCAGGCACGCAAAUUACCCACUCCCGGCUCGGGGAGGUAGUGACGAAAAAUAACGAUGCGCGACUUCAUCCGAGGCCGCGCAAUCGGAAUGAGCACACUUUAAACACUUUAACGAGUAUCUAUUGGAGGGCAAGUCUGGUGCCAGCAGCCGCGGUAAUUCCAGCUCCAAUGGCCUAUGUUAAAGCUGUUGUGGUUAAAAAGCUCGUAGCUGGUCCUACGGGACCACCGGCUGAUGGUGGAGUGAAAUCCAAUGGCUAUUGUUUUCUUAACUGGGAUGAUAUGCCUUCCUUCACUGUCACGCCGGGUCUAAUCGCUUCCCCGGCAGAUAUUAUAACCUGCUGGGAGGCAAUCUGGCUGGCUCGCACGGGGUUGCUCUUCAUCGAGUGUCCCGAGUGGCUGGCAUGUUUACUUUGAAAAAAUUAGAGUGCUUAAAGCAGGCUACUAAGAAGGCCUGAAUGAUGAUGCAUGGAAUAAUGAAAUAAGGCAUCGUGUUCAUUUGCAUAUAGAGUCUGUUGUGCUUCUUCAAGCUGCAGGCUGGGAUCUGCUUUUCUAGCAAGGGUAGUUAUUGUGACCUAGUCGACAUCAUCUGCUGGCAACUGCUGCUUGGUGGCGACAUCAUCGGCUCUUGUUAUUAUAGCGUGUUGUCGUUCCUAGGUCCGAAUCAUACUGACUCCCUUCUGAACUACGAUACAAUGAUUAGCAGGGACUGAUGAGGGCAUUUGUACUGCGUGGUGAGAGGUGAAAUUCUUGGACCCUCGCAAGACAAACAAAGGCGAAAGCAUUUGCCAAGUAUGUUCCCACUAGUCAAGAACGAAAGUUAGAGGUUCGAAGGCGAUCAGAUACCGCCCUAGUUCUAACCGUAAACUAUGCUAACCAGUAAUCCGCCGGUCGUUAUAACAAUGACCCGGCAGGCAGCUUCCGGGAAACCAAAGUCUUUGAGUUCCAGGGGAAGUAUGGUUGCAAAUCUGAAACUUAAAGGAAUUGACGGAAGGGCACCACCAGGAGUGGAGCCUGCGGCUUAAUUUGACUCAACACGGGAAACCUCACCAGGUCCGGACACUAGAAUGAUUGACAGAAUGAAAGCUCUUUCUCGAUUCAGUGGGUGGUGGUGCAUGGCCGUUCUUAGUUGGU
rnacentral:rRNA from 1 species